AUUGAACGCUGGCGGCAGGCCUAACACAUGCAAGUCGAGCGGAUGAAGGGAGCUUGCUCCUGGAUUCAGCGGCGGACGGGUGAGUAAUGCCUAGGAAUCUGACUGGUAGUGGGGGAUAACGUCCGGAAACGGGCGCUAAUACCGCAUACGUCCUGAGGGAGAAAGUGGGGGAUCUUCGGACCUCACGCUAUCAGAUGAGCCUAGGUCGGAUAGCUAGUUGGUGGGGUAAAGGCCUACCAAGGCGACGAUCCGUAACUGGUCUGAGAGGAUGAUCAGUCACACUGGAACUGAGACACGGUCCAGACUCCUACGGGAGGCAGCAGAGGGGAAUAUUGGACAAUGGGCGAAAGCCUGAUCCAGCCAUGCCGCGUGUGUGAAGAAGGUCUUCGGAUUGUAAAGCACUUUAAGUUGGGAGGAAGGGCAGUAAGUUAAUACCUUGCUGUUUUGACGUUACCAACAGAAUAAGCACCGGCUAACUUCGUG
rnacentral:rRNA from 1 species